UACGUAGGGUGCAAGCGUUGUCCGGAAUUAUUGGGCGUAAAGAGCUCGUAGGCGGUUUGUCGCGUCUGCUGUGAAAACGCGAGGCUCAACCUCGCGCCUGCAGUGGGUACGGGCAGACUAGAGUGCGGUAGGGGAGAUUGGAAUUUCUGGUGUAGCGGUGGAAUGCGCAGAUAUCAGGAGGAACACCGAUGGCGAAGGCAGAUCUCUGGGCCGUAACUGACGCUGAGGAGCGAAAGCGUGGGGAGCGAACAGG
rnacentral:rRNA from 1 species